rnacentral:rRNA from 1 species
GGAGGAAAGCAGGGGAUCGCAAGACCUUGUGCUCAUUGAGCGGCCGAUGCCUGAUUAGCUAGUUGGUGAGGUAAAGGCUUUCCCAGGCGACGAUCAGUAAGUGGUUUGAGAGGGCGACCCACCCCCCCGGGGCUUAGGCCCGGCCCCAGCUCCUACGGGAGGCAGCAGUGGGGAAUUUUGGACAAUGGGGGAGACCCUGAUCCAGCCAUGCCGCGUGAGUGAAGAAGGCCUUCGGGUUGUAAAGCUCUUUCAGCCGGAACGAAACGGUCACGGCUAAUACCUGUGACUACUGACGGUACCGGAAGAAGAAGCACCGGCUAACUACGUGCCAGCAGCCGCGGUAAUACGUAGGGUGCGAGCGUUAAUCGGAAUUACUGGGCGUAAAGCGUGCGCAGGCGGUUUUGUAAGUCAGAAGGAAAUCCCCGGGCUUAACCUGGGAACUGCGUUCGUAAAAGGAGGCUAGAAGGGC